rnacentral:rRNA from 1 species
ACAGUUGGGGGCAUCAGUAUUCUGAAGCGAGAGGUGAAAUUCUUGGACCUUCGGAAGACUAACAACUGCGAAAGCAUUUGCCUAGGAUGUUCUCUUUAAUCAAGAACGAAGGUUGGGGGAUCGAAGACGAUCAGAUACCGUCGUAGUCUCAGCUAUAAACUAUGCCAGCUAGGGAUGGGUUGAUGUUUUAACUACGACUCAAUCCGCACCUUAUGAGAAAUCAAAGCAUUUGGGUUCCGGGGGGAGUAUGGUCGCAAGGCUGAAACUUAAAGGAAUUGACGGGAGGGCACCACCAGGAGUGGAGCCUGUGGCUUAAUUUGACUCAACACGGGAAAACUUACCAGGUCCGGACAUAGCGAGGAUUGACAGAUUGAUAGCUCUUUCUUGAUUCUAUGGGUGGUGGUGCAUGGCCGUUCU